UGGGGAAUUUUGGACAAUGGGCGCAAGCCUGAUCCAGCCAUACCGCGUGAGUGAAGAAGGCCUUCGGGUUGUAAAGCUCUUUCAGACGGAAAGAAACGGUUACGGCUAAUACCCGUGACUAAUGACGGUACCGUAAGAAGAAGCACCGGCUAACUACGUGCCAGCAGCCGCGGUAAUACGUAGGGUGCGAGCGUUACUCGGAAUUACUGGGCGUAAAGCGUGCGCAGGCGGUUUGGUAAGACAGAUGUGAAAUCCCCGGGCUUAACCUGGGAACUGCAUUUGUGACUGCCAGACUAGAGUGUAGCAGAGGGGGGUAGAAUUCCACGUGUAGCAGUGAAAUGCGUAGAUAUGUGGAGGAAUACCGAUGGCGAAGGCAGCCCCCUGGGCUAACACUGACGCUCAUGCACGAAAGCGUGGGGAGCAAACAGGAUUAGAUACCCUUGUAGUCCCUGAGCGGGCUGGCAAGGCGCAU
rnacentral:rRNA from 1 species